CCGGCCUGGUGGCGCAGGGUGGCCUCCAGGGAUUCCAGCUGUGCCCGUGGGAACUAAAACCCUCGGUUCUAGAAGGGCCGGGGGAGAGGCUGCCGGAAGACCGAAUUCUUCAGAAAUCGCAUAGCGACUUUGGACUGGAUCCCUCCCAGCGGGGCUGGGUCGGGGAGGCGCCGGCACUAGCAUAUUCAGUGACUUCCAAGGGAAUGAAUGAGGCCUUGGAAGCGCCUGCGUUAGAAUACUACAAACUUACAAGCGAAUUGAGUUUAUUAUCUCCCACUAGGAGGGUAUGAAAGGGCUGAGGCAGCGUGGCCUGGACCCCCGUGCUUGCUCUCAGGCUUCCAGAGCGAAGGUGGGGCCCAUACUCAGACUGGCUCUUCAUUCAUUCAUUCAUUCAGUCAGUCAGUCAGCCAGUCAUUCCUACAGGACCAGAAACAUUUUUUGAAGGGCAGACACCGCACAGGGUGCUGGAGACAGACUGAAGGAAACUUUGCACCGCUCAGUGAUUCAAGAGAGAUUUGUUGAGUACGAAGUGCCCAGCGCCGUUCUUGUCCCUGGGGAUUCAGCUUCUGGAUUGGGACCUGCAGCCCAGUGAAGGGAAAUGGGGGAAAUCCAAGUUCCCAGGUACACCGUGAUACUCUUCCAGGUAGCCUCUCCUUCCUGGAAAUCGCCAUAAUCAGUGGCCACAGCACUCCCAUGGGACUUGGAGGGUGGAGUUGGAAGCCCCUUCCCACUGGCCAGAUUGGAGGGACCAGCAGGAAAGCUCCCUCCUGCAUCGAGCGGGCGAGUGAGGCUGAAGCCAGCUCUCCAUGGCCGCACCACCUGGAACCCAGGAUCCUGGGAGGCAGGCCAGCAUGGAGGAGGCUCAGCCAAUGACUGGGAAUUGAACGAAGAACCAAAGAGGACAGCCAUGAGAUCUGUCUGCUACGUAGGAGAGGGGACAGGCCACCAGGGUAGUGGGUAAACACUGUUUUCCCUGCCCAGCAUCCAUCUCUCUUACUCUGGUGACUGUCCCUCAGUUUUCCAGUCUCCAGUGUGACUGAUUCCCCAUCCCCAAGCUCUAGAAGCCAGUUUGAGUCCUGUGUCUAGCCAAUCUGAGUCAUGGGAAUAGCUCAGGCAUAUGAUAUCAAAAAGCAUCAGCCCGGGAACUUGCUGGGACUGUUAGGGUCACAAAUGCCAAGAUGCCACCCCAGAGCUGCUGCUGGCCAGCUCUGCCACCCUAAGGGGGGAGCCUACGAAUGAAUAAAGCCAACACAGAGGAAAACAGCACCAAGAGAAUGAAUCUCAAUGACAUUGCUUGUGCUCCUGGAUCCAAUCAUGCCUGAAGCAGUUUCCAUUCUAUGAGCCAACACAUUCCAGUUUUUGCU
ensembl:lincRNA